GACGAACGCUGGCGGCGUGCUUAACACAUGCAAGUCGAACGGUGAAGGGGUCUGCUUUUGUGGGCCCUGGAUGAGUGGCGAACGGGUGAGUAACACGUGAGUAACCUGCCCCCUUCUUCUGGAUAACCGCAUGAAAGUGUGGCUAAUACGGGAUAUUCUGGGUCUGUCGCAUGAUGGGUCUGGGAAAGAUUGCGCCUUUGGGUGUUUUUGGUGGGGGAUGGGCUCGCGGCCUAUCAGCUUGUUGGUGGGGUGAUGGCCUACCAAGGCGGUGACGGGUAGCCGGGCUGAGAGGGUGGACGGUCACACUGGGACUGAGACACGGCCCAGACUCCUACGGGAGGCAGCAGUGGGGAAUAUUGCACAAUGGGCGCAAGCCUGAUGCAGCGACGCCGCGUGAGGGAUGGAGGCCUUCGGGUUGUAAACCUCUUUCGCCAGUGAAGCAGGCCUGCUCCUUGUGGGUGGGUUGACGGUAGCUGGAUAAGAAGCGCCGGCUAACUACGUG
rnacentral:rRNA from 1 species